ACUUAACUAAAAAUAUUAUGGUUUGUUAUGAUAUCCACAAGACUAUAAGUAUUUUUAGAGGCAAGGAUUAUAUUGAGAGUUGCAUGAGAUACAACUAGAUAAGUUUUUCUACCUUUAAACUUAUUGAGGUUUGUUGUGAUAUCCAUAAGGCUUCAUUGAGGGAUUAGGAUCUCAACCUUAUUAAGAAAUCAGAUUAAGGUUUCUUGUUUAUCAUAAGAGAGGGCUA
rnacentral:lncRNA from 1 species